rnacentral:rRNA from 1 species
CCUACGGGAGGCAGCAGUCGAGAAUCAUUCACAAUGGGGGAAACCCUGAUGGUGCGACGCCGCGUGGGGGAAUGAAGGUCUUCGGAUUGUAAACCCCUGUCAUGUGGGAGCAAAUUAAAAAGAUAGUACCACAAGAGGAAGAGACGGCUAACUCUGUGCCAGCAGCCGCGGUAAUACAGAGGUCUCAAGCGUUGUUCGGAAUCACUGGGCGUAAGGCGUGCGUAGGCUGUUUCGUAAGUCGUGUGUGAAAGGCGCGGGCUCAACCCGCGGACGGCACAUGAGACUGCGAGACUAGAGUAAUGGAGAGGGAACUGGAAUGCUCGGUGGAGCAGUGAAAUGCGUAGAGAUGGAGAGGAACACUCGUGGCGAAGGCGGGUUCCUGGACAUUAACUGACGCUGAGGCACGAAGGCCAGGGGAGCGAAAGGGAUUAGAUACCCGUGUAGUC